GACGAACGCUGGCGGCGUGCUUAACACAUGCAAGUCGAACGGAAAGGCCCGGCGUUUGUGGGGUGCUCGAGAGGCGAACGGGUGAGUAACACGUGAGGAUCCCGCCCUUGACUUUGGGAUAACAUCAGGAAACUGGGGCUAAUACAGGAUAGAAGCUCCUGCUGCACGGUGGGGGUUGGAGAGUUUCGGCGGUGGGGGAUGGACUCGCGGCUUAUCAGCUUGUUGGUGGGGUAGUGGCUUACCAAGGCUUUGACGGGUAGCCGGCCUGAGAGGGUUACCGGCCACAUUGGGACUGAGGUACGGCCCAGACUCCUACGGGAGGCAGCAGUGGGGAAUAUUGCACAAUGGGCGGAAGCCUGAUGCAGCAGCGCCGCGUGCGGGAUGACGGCCUUCGGGUUGUAAACCGCUUUCGCCUGUGACGAAGCGUGAGUGACGGUAAUGGGUAAAGAAGCACCGGCUAACUACGUG
rnacentral:rRNA from 1 species